rnacentral:rRNA from 1 species
UGCUUGCAUCAGAUGACGAGUGGCGCACGGGUGAGUAACGCGUAUACAAUCUACCUUUUACAGGGGGAUAGCCUUUAGAAAUGAAGAUUAAUAUCCCAUAGUAUGUUAACUUGGCAUCAAGAUAACAUUAAAGUUUCGGCGGUAAAAGAUGAGUAUGCGUUCUAUUAGUUAGUUGGUAAGGUAACGGCUUACCAAGACCGCGAUAGAUAGGGGCCCUGAGAGGGGGAUCCCCCACACUGGUACUGAGACACGGACCAGACUCCUACGGGAGGCAGCAGUGAGGAAUAUUGGACAAUGGGCGCGAGCCUGAUCCAGCCAUGCCGCGUGCAGGAAGACUGCCCUAUGGGUUGUAAACUGCUUUUAUACAGGAAGAAACCUUUUCACGUGUGAAAAGCUGACGGUACUGUAAGAAUAAGGAUCGGCUAACUCCGUGCCAGCAGCCGCGGUAAUACGGAGGAUCCAAGCGUUAUCCGGAAUCAUUGGGUUUAAAGGGUCCGUAGGUGGAUAAUUAAGUCAGGGGUGAAAGUUUGCAGCUCAACUGUAAAAUUGCCUUUGAUACUGGUUAUCUUGAAUUAUUGUGAAGUGGUUAGAAUAUGUAGUGUAGCGGUGAAAUGCAUAGAUAUUACAUAGAAUACCAAUUGCGAAGGCAGAUCACUAACAAUAUAUUGACACUGAUGGACGAAAGCGUGGGGAGCGAACAGGAUUAGAUACCCUGGUAGUCCACGCCGUAAACGAUGGAUACUAGCUGUUCGGUUUUCGGACUGAGUGGCUAAGCGAAAGUGAUAAGUAUCCCACCUGG